AAGAACAUCUGAGGUAUCAGCUGGGGAUGUUCUUCCGGGACGAACUGCUGUCGUGGUUCGGGAGAAGACCAAUAGGCGUCACUCCUCUAAACUCGGCCGAUCUCAGACACAAGGUUGACUCCAAUGUCGAUGAUGUCAUUGGCCGGAUAAAGGGCAUUUCCCCACACUACUUGUCCGAAGAGGAGGAUGAUAUCAACGCAGUGGAGCCACCACAGUCAGUGCAGAGAGGUGUGAAUGAGUUGGUAGAAGCUGCAUUGUCGCCACGUAACCUGUGCAUGAUGGACCCCACUUGGCAUCCCUGGUUCUAACUUCUGUUUUUUUUUUUUUUAACUUACUGUAAUAAUCCCCCAAAAAAAAAAAAAAAAAAAAAAA